AUGAAAGUUAGUUUAGUGGGUAAUCCCUUUCACGUAAACUUACAAAUAAUACCAUUUAUCGAAACUGUAAACAAAAUCCACCAUAUCAGUGUAGUGGUCCCCGCAUAUCUAUUUUCACAAAGUGCUUUCCAACGGAAAGACCUUACAUUUCUGAUUCAUUGCCACUUUGCAUUUCGGUACCACCACCAAUGUUAGGUGCCACUGCCACCUUUUCCCUACCACCUCUUCCUUGCACCGCAAGUCUUCACUGCAACUCUGAUCCUAACGAAUCUCUCACAUUGCAAAGCUCCUGAUUUUUCACUCUCCAUAAUUGCCAAUCAGAUUUGGUAUUUUUUAUUGUCUCUUGUCUUUCUUUUCCUUUACUUGGGUGUGGUGUAAUUGGCUUGUGUUAUGUUAAAAAUUGUGUUUUGAGAUCUGGGUCCAAUGGCAAUCCAUGAUUGUUGUUUGUGUUUCCAAUUAUUGUUGUGAUUUAUGUACAUUCUGAUUAGUCUGUCUAGUUUUUGUGGGUUUUCAUGUUUAUAAUAACUUAAGCACAAGAAAAGUGAGUGUAUGCAUGGACCACCUACCCAUAAAGAAAGAAAAAGUUUGUGUUUUGUUAAGCAAAAAAUGUGUGAUUUGGAAGUGUAUAUAUGUUUUACUACUAUGGGUUUUUUAAGUGGGGUUUUUUAGUGCUUUCAUUUUUCUUGGGGAUUUUGGAAGAUUUGGGUCUUCGGAAUCUUUGCUUUCACAUUUUAUUUGACUGGGUUAAAGUGAAUGUGGUUUGAUUUGUUGUAUAUGAUGAUGAUCAUGAUUUCUACGAUUACGAUUUGGUAAUAGUUUGGAUGUAUUUGUUUUGGCAACUUCAAAAUUUAUGUCCAAAUGUCAGACGACAAGAACGAAGAGGAACUAAAUCAAGUGCGCAGACUUGCUGUGAGUCUUUCAAAUGAGAUUGACUACAAGAACCAAAGGUUGUUGGAGAUGGAGCAUAAGUAUAAUGAGACAACGGCUACUGUCCGCCAACUUGUUGUGGGGCUUACGAAGGAGAUUGAUUCCAAACAGAAAAGUUUGCUGGAAAUGGAGCACAAGUACUCUGAGUCCUCUGCAUAUGUUAAACUACUGGUGAAUGAAAUAGAUAAGUUGCAUGCAG